rnacentral:rRNA from 1 species
UACGGGGGGGGCGAGCGUUGUUCGGAAUUACUGGGCGUAAAGGGCGCGUAGGCGGCUUAUCAAGUCAGGCGUGAAAUUCCCGGGCUCAACCUGGGGGCUGCGCUUGAUACUGAUGAGCUUGAAUGCGGGAGAGGAUAGUGGAAUUCCCAGUGUAGAGGUGAAAUUCGUAGAUAUUGGGAAGAACACCGGUGGCGAAGGCGGCUAUCUGGCCCGUAAUUGACGCUGAGGCGCGAAAGCGUGGGGAGCAAACAGG